rnacentral:rRNA from 1 species
GAUGAACGCUAGCGGCAGGCCUAAUACAUGCAAGUCAAGGGGCCAGUAAUGGCACCGGCGGACGGGUGCGUAACGCGUACACAACGUACCUUUGGGUGGGGGAUAGCAUCGGGAAACUGGUGGUAAUACCCCAUGGUAUUGGAGACUGGCAUCAGUUUUCAAUUAAAGACUACGCCCAAAGAUCGGUGUGCGUCUGAUUAGCUAGUUGGUAGGGUAACGGCCUACCAAGGCGACGAUCUGUAGCUGGUCUGAGAGGACGACCAGCCACACUGGGACUGAGACACGGCCCAGACUCCUACGGGAGGCAGCAGUGGGGAAUUUUGGACAAUGGGCGCAAGCCUGAUCCAGCAAUGCCGCGUGCAGGAAGAAGGCCUUCGGGUUGUAAACCGCUUUCAGCAGGGAAGAAGCGAAAGUGACGGUACCUGCAGAAGAAGCACCGGCUAACUAUGUG